UCCAGACUCCUACGGGAGGCAGCAGUGGGGAAUAUUGGACAAUGGGGGGAACCCUGAUCCAGCGACGCCGCGUGAGUGAAGAAGUAUUUCGGUAUGUAAAGCUCUAUCAGCAGGGAAGAAAGAAAUGACGGUACCUGACUAAGAAGCCCCGGCUAACUACGUGCCAGCAGCCGCGGUAAUACGUAGGGAGCAAGCGUUGUCCGGAAUUACUGGGUGUAAAGGGAGCGUAGGCGGGGAUGCAAGUUGGGUGUCAAAACUACCGGCUCAACCGAUAGUCGCACUCAAAACUGCAACUCUUGAGUGAAGUUGAGGCAGGCGGAAUUCCUAGUGUAGCGGUGAAAUGCGUAGAUAUUAGGAGGAACACCAGUGGCGCAGGCGACUUUCUGGACUGUACCUGACGCUGAGGCGCGAAAGCGUGGGUAGCGAACGGGAUUAGAUACCCUGGUAAUA
rnacentral:rRNA from 1 species